UUCCCCCAAACGCAUUAAUUUAGGAAUUAAACUUGAAACAUACCCCCACUCUGAUAUACGAGCAGUCUAUUACAUCACCGAGCGACUGCUUGACCUAAAUAAAGGCUCACAAAUUUACCGAGUGAUGCCACCCAACGAAACCUGCACUCCUCGGUGACGACCAACAACAACCAUUCACACAAUUGAAUGAAAUAUUUAUGUAUUGCUGACGACCAAUCACAACCUAUUCACACAAUGGAAUGAAAUAUCUAUAUAUCGCUGACGACCAAUCACAACCUAUUCACACAAUGGAAUGAAAUAUUUAUGUAUCGCUGACGACCAAUCACAACCCAUUCACACAAUGGAAUGAAAUAUCUAUGUAUCGCUGACGACCAAUCACAAUUCAUUCACACAAUGGAAUGAAAUAUUUAUGUAUCGUUGACGACCAAUCACAACCUAUUCACACAAUGGAAUGAAAUAUUUAUGUAUCGCUGACGACCAAUCACAACCUAUUCACACAAUGGAAUGAAAUAUCUAUAUAUCGCUGACGACCAAUCACAACCUAUUCACACAAUGGAAUGAAAUACUUAUGUAUCGCUGACGACCAAUCGCAAUUCAUUGACACAAUGAAAUGAAUAUUUAUGUAUCGCGGACGACCAAUCACAACUUCCUGAUACAGUGGAAUGAAAUAAUUAAUAUCAUUGUGUAAUCUUUACUUACUUUUGUGAUACGUCAAGCUCAAUGAAACACGUAAAUCUCCUUUCUUUUUUUUUGGUGUUACUUGUUUUUUUAACUCUCUAUUUUGUAUUGCUUAUAGGAGUUAUAGAAUUGAUCACUGUUCUUUAUUUUUAAACCAAGUGAAGCUUUUUGAUUUCAUGUCAAUUUCUAAACUGAUUUUGUAAACACGAAAAUCCUCCUCUCCUAUCUUUAACCUGUCCGCUCUCCUAAGGUUUUCCACGUGAAUAUAAAUCAUUAUCUCACGAUAUACCCUCGAUUUGUCCGAUGAUAUGAAGCAACAUUGUGUAUGAAUGUCUAUCACCGAAUAAAUAUCUGGUUCGUGUUUAUCUUCAGAUACGAAUAACAUUAGACAUAGAGAUGGACGAAUCAAAGAGUUCGACCCCGGCAAUAGUUGUAUGUGUGAGAGAGUAUGGUGGUCGCUUGCUCGGACACGUGGGGUUUUCCCCGAGGAAGUCCGGCUUCCAAUCUUCCCACAUAAUGACCCCUAGCACCAACAUCCGUGCAUCAAAGGAUCCCAUUGAAAAUAAUCUUUCAAGCUUUCAUGGGUUAUAUAUGUACAUGUAACACUCAGCAGGUGUAAAUAUAGGUGUCAUUAUACAAUGUAUAUUAAGAGAUAAGGUCUCUAUGAACAACAUAGAUAAAGUAACUUCAUUAGAAUAACGUAUUGUGAUGCCUUUACAGAUGUCUAUAUUUGAGUAUAACACAUUACUAAAGAAUUGCCAUGUCUAUGGUUAUUAAAAGAUUAUCACGCUAUAGGAAUGCUUUAUAUAGAAAUGUACCUAGGUUGCACAAAACCCUUAGGUUAUUAGUACUAAGUAACUGUACAAAUUUGAAUGCACUUGUUUUUCCCCCCAGUAAUAU